rnacentral:rRNA from 1 species
CAGUAGCCGCGGUAAUACGAAGGUCCCGAGCGUUGUUCGGAAUCACUGGGCGUAAAGGGAGCGUAGGCGGCGUGGUAAGUCAGGUGUGAAAUCCCGGGGCUCAACCCCGGAACUGCAUCCGAUACUGCCAUGCUAGAGGAUUGGAGAGGUAGCUGGAAUUCUUGGUGUAGCAGUGAAAUGCGUGGAGAUCAAGAGGAACACUCGUGGCGAAAGCGAGCUACUGGACAAUAACUGACGCUGAGGCUCGAAGGCCAGGGUAGCGAAAGGGAUUAGAUACCCCCGUAGUCCCUGUCUCUUAUAC